rnacentral:rRNA from 1 species
GACGUAGGGCGCGAGCGUUGUCCGGAUUUAUUGGGCGUAAAGAGCUCGUAGGCGGCUUGUCGCGUCGUUCGUGAAAACCUGCGGCUCAACUGCAGGCUUGCGGUCGAUACGGGCAGGCUGGAGUUCGGUAGGGGAGACUGGAAUUCCUGGUGUAGCGGUGAAAUGCGCAGAUAUCAGGAGGAACACCGGUGGCGAAGGCGGGUCCCUGGGCCGAUACUGACGCUGAGGAGCGAAAGCGUGGGGAGCGAACAGG